ACAACGGAGAGUUUGAUCCUGGCUCAGGAUGAUCGCUAGCUCCAGGAGUAACACAUGCAAGUCGAGGGGCAGCAUGAACUUAGCUUGCUAAGUUUGAUGGCGACCGGCGCACGGGUGAGUAACGCGUAUCCAACCUGCCCCGAGGUCAGGGACAGCCCGGCGAAAGUCGGAUUAAUACCUGAUGGUCUCUUUUGAUGGCAUCUGACGAGGAGUAAAGAUUCAUCGCCUUGGGAUGGGGAUGCGUAGGAUUAGGCAGCAGGCGGGGUAACGGCCCACCUGGCCCUCGAUCCUUAGGGGUUCUGAGAGGAAGGUCCCCCACACUGGUACUGAGACACGGUCCAGACUCCUCCGGGUGGCAGCAGUGAGGAAUAUUGGUCAAUGGGCGCGAGCCUGAACCAGCCAAGUAGCGUGCAGGAUGACGGCCCUACGGGUUGUAAACUGCUUUUAUGAGGGGAUAACGUGCGCCACGUGUGGUGUAUUGCAGGUACCUCAUGAAUAAGGACCGGCUAAUUCCGUGCCAGCAGCCGCGGUAAUACGGAAG
rnacentral:rRNA from 1 species